UUGAUCCUUGUGUCUGUCUUCUGUGUGUUUGUGGAAGAUGACGAAGACAAUGAGUCGAUAUUUUUAAAACAUUCCUCCUGCUUUUUUCCUAACCCUUUGAAGCCAAAAUUGAUUUUUCCACCUAAGCAUACUGUUACUGAUAAGUUUUUGGUGGACAUCCCACGGCAGCCACCUUGGAGGCUGCAAAAUCCCGCAAGUGUGGACGGAGGAGGCAGCAAUCCUUGGAUCAACAAGUCUGUAUGUGGACCUCUUCUGAAGUUCCAGGAUUUUUUGCCCCUGACUAAAACCCAUGAUUUGCUGCUGUCUGGAAGUGCCCUUGGUUUGCAGCAACUGAAGAAAGCUGAGAACAAAGAGGAGAAAUAAGAAAAGGAGAGAGACAUUGCUACAUUUUAUAAGCAACUGAGAAGCGAGAUGAUAGAGGAUUAAUUGGGACUGUCCCUGCCAAAUCAUUGCAGUUGGAAGGUAUGGUACUUUGGUCGUUUCAUUGCAGUCUUUUCAAAUAAUAUAUAUUCAAAUUGUUAUUGCAUUCACCACUAUGUAAAAUGUGAAGAAACCUUGACUGUUUAAACAUUGCCUUACAUUGAGAACUGUCCGUUGUUCUUUUGAAUUCUGUAUAUCAAACUCCUUCUAUUCAUUUGUACCAACCUCCUGCAUUAUAUAAAUGGAGGUGUGAAUUUGUGGGCCACUGAACACUAUGAAUUUUCCUAAUAUAUCAAAAUUACAGUAACACCUGUGCUAAGUACCUUUGUGCUGAUCUACAGUGAGGACUCAUGGGGUGUUCAGUUGCCCUCAUUUCAGUAUUGUCAACAAGCCACAGGUGUGCACCGCAUGAAUAGAUGAAAAUGAGAUUUGGCAGAAUAUAGUGACAGUUCGAGGUUUGAAAUGCAUUUGUCUUAAGACAGAGAAAUGCAUCUAUUAACCAUGCUGAAGUUUAGUAGACUUUUUAUGUAUGCAUUAUAGUUGAUCAGUAUUUUGAUUUAGUAAGGCGAGAUCGUAGCAAGCAUGUAUGAUAACGGAUAGGUUGUGUCAGCUCUUCCUUCCCCUUAGGAGUAGUUACAUAAAUGUAUUAUACCACAUGUCGCUUACCGAUCAGUUUCUAUUCUUCCAACUGUUUGUUGUCACAAUAUCACAUGCUGACACCCCAUUUUAAUUUUAAAUUUUUAUUCUUCUUUCUAAUAAACAGCAAGUGACUACCUCAUAGUUUGUUUUACCUAAAGUCAGAAGAGAUAAAAUGGAAGUAAGGACACUUCCUCAAGACCACUCUUUGCCCACCUGCAAGAAGUCAUAAAACUAUCUUUUCUCCUGUAUAUAAUUCCUCAGGCUCUUGCCUCAUUCUGUCUAAUAGUAAAGCAGACUCAGAUUUUCCCAAUAUUAGCAAAAUUGCAUUAGAAGCAUAAUAAUAACUAUCAAAAAGAUGGUUGUGGAACAGUCCAAAAAGAGCACAGUAGAGUAUUGGAAUUUUUCAAGAUCAUUAAGGCUGGAUCUACACUGCCAUAUAAACGUCAGAUUAUCUGCUUUGAAUUGGAUUAUAUAGCAGUGUUGGCUCAUAUAAUCCACUUCAAAACAGAUAAUGUGGAUUAUCUGCUUUGAUAAC
ensembl:lncRNA